AAAUCGUUCGACGAGGAUCUAUUGGAGGGCAAGUCUGGUGCCAGCAGCCGCGGUAAUUCCAGCUCCAAUAGCGUAUAUUAAAGUUGUUGCAGUUAAAAAGCUCGUCGUUGGAUCUGGGGUUCGGGUCGGCGGUUUGCCGCUUCGGCGGCUACUGCCGUGCUCGACUCUUACUAGCCGGUGCGUCUUGCGGUGCUCUUCAUCGAGUGCCGUAGGAGCCUGGCAUGUUUUACUUUGAAAAAAUUAGAGUGCUCAAAGCAGGCGAUUCCGCCUGAAUAGUGUUGCAUGGAAUAAUGGAAUAGGACCUCGGUUCUAUUUUGUUGGUUUUCGGAACUUGAGGUAAUGAUUAAGAGGGACGGUCGGGGGCAUUCGUAUUUCGGUGUUAGAGGUGAAAUUCUUGGAUCGCUGAAAGACGGACAAAUGCGAAAGCAUCUGCCAAGAACGUCUCCAUUAAUCAAGAACGAAAGUCAGAGGUUCGAAGACGAUCAGACACCGUCCUAGUUCUGACCAUAAACGAUGCCAACUAGCGAUCCGCAGUGGUUGCUAUAAACGGACUCUGCGAGCAGCUUCCGGGAAACCAAAGUGUUUGGGUUCCGGGGGAAGUAUGGUUGCAAAGCUGAAACUUAAAGGAAUUGACGGAAGGGCACCACCAGGAGUGGAGCCUGCGGCUUAAUUUGACCCAACACGGGGAAACUCACCCGGUCCGGACACUGUAAGGAUUGACAGAUCGAGAGCUCUUUCUUGAUUCGGUGGAUGGUGGUGCAAGGCCGUUCUUAGUUGGUGGAGUGAUUUGUCUGGUUAAUUCCGAUAACGAACGAGACUCUAGCCUGCUAACUAGUUGCGCCGUGUUCAUACGCGGCUGUAGACUUCUUAGAGGGACAGGUGGCGUUUAGCCACACGAAAUUGAGCAAUAACAGGUCUGUGAUGCCCUUAGAUGUCCGGGGCCGCACGCGCGCUACACUGAAGGAGUCAGCGUGUGCUAUCCGGGCUCGGAAGAGUUCGGUAACCCGUUGAAACUCCUUCGUGCUUGGGAUUGUGGCUUGUAAUUAUCGCGCAUGAACGAGGAAUUCCCAGUAAGUGCAAGUCAUCAGCUUGCGCUGACUACGUCCCUGCCCUUUGUACACACCGCCCGUCGCUACUACCGAUUGAAUGGUUUAGCAAGGUACUCGGAUUGGUCUCGAUCUUGUACGAAAGUGCGGGAUCUGUGGCCGAGAAGAAGGCCAAACUUGAUCAUUUAGAGGAAGUAAA
rnacentral:rRNA from 1 species